rnacentral:rRNA from 1 species
UUUUACAAUGAAGAGUUUGAUCCUGGCUCAGGAUGAACGCUAGCUACAGGCUUAACACAUGCAAGUCGAGG